rnacentral:rRNA from 1 species
AUGAUCGGUGAAAUGGAUGCGGACAGUGUUGUAGGAUAUUUCAGGGGCAAGAGUAUCCUCAUCACUGGUUCAACUGGCUUCCUAGGCAAAGUGCUCGUAGAGAAGAUACUGAGGGUUCAGCCUGAUGUGAAGAAGCUCUACCUCUUGAUUCGGGCCCCUGAUGCUGAAUCCGCGAAGCUUCGAAUUCAGACUGAGAUCAUAGGUCGGGAGAUCUUUCACGUGCUAAAAGAAAAACAUGGUGUGCAGUUUAAUAAUUUCAUUGAAGAAAAGAUAUGUCCUCUGGUGGGAGAUAUCAUUUAUGAAAACUUUGGACUAGACAAUGUCCAGCUCGAGGAAUUGUCCAAGGACAUAGAUGUCAUUGUCAACGGAGCUGCAACUACAAAUUUCUUUGAAAGAUAUGAUGUAGCUUUCGAUGUGAAUGUCUUGGGAGUGAAGCACGUCUGCGCAUUUGGAGCGAAAUGUCCUAAACUCAAGAUGUUUCUUCAUGUUUCAACUGCGUAUGUAGCUGGUGAACAAGAGGGGAUAAUACCAGAGAAGCCGAUCUUGAUGGGCGAGACCCUAAAGGUGGGCACACAUCUGGACAUCGAGUCCGAGUUAAUUUUAGUCAAGGAUACCAUGCUAGAACUAAAAGCUAGCUGUUCCACGGAAAAGGAUGGGAGGAAAACCAUGAAGGAGCUUGGCUUCAAGAGGGCACGACACUUCGGGUGGCCAAACACCUAUGUCUUCACCAAGGCAAUGGGGGAGAUGAUUAUGGGGAACCUACCAAUAGACUUUCCGGUUGUCAUCAUCCGCCCGAGCAUUAUAACCAGCACCCUCAAAGAGCCAUUGCCUGGAUGGAUGGAAGGAAUCAAGACAAUCGACUCGGUGGUCAUCGGAUACGCCAAGCAGACCUUGCCCUUCUUCCUAGUCGACCUAGAUUUAAUAAUGGAUGUGAUUCCAGGGGACAUGGUGGUCAAUGCUAUGAUGGUUGCCAUGGCAGCACACUCAGAGGAUCAGCAGGUGCAAGUCAUCUACCAUGUAACAUCGUCGAUGCGGAACCCGGCACCUUAUUCCAUCCUUUGGAAGUCUCUCUUUCAGUACUUCAAUGACAACCCCCCAUGCACGGGAAGGAAUGGUGAACGUGUUCGGCUGAAGAAGAUGCGGUUCUUCAGCACUGUCAUAUGGUUCAAGCUGUACAUGGCCGUCAAAUACAUGCUUCCCCUCGAGAUGCUUCGCCUAGUGAACAUUGCACUUUGCGGUGUUUUCUCACGGAGAUACAAUGAACUUAGCAGAAAAUUCAGAUUCAUGAUGCAGUUGAGCGAAUUAUAUGCACCCUACACGUUGUUCAAAGGGUGCUUUGAUGACAUCAACUUGGAUAAGCUCAGGAUGGGGAUGAACAAGGACAAUCAAAAUAACAAUGGAGCGUAUUACUUUGAUUUUGAUCCCAAGUACAUUGACUGGGGCGAUUAUUUCUACAAUGUUCACAUCCCUGGUGUGCUCAAAUACACGCGUGAUUGA